UCAAGAAUAUUCCUCAAUGGCCGAAAGGCUGAAGGAGCGACGCCGCGUGUAUGAUGAAGCUCUUCGGGGUGUAAAGUACUUUUUUCUGGGAAGAAUUUUGACGGUACCAGAAGAAUAAGGGGCUGCUAAACUCGUGCCAGCAGCAGCGGUAAUACGAGUGCCCCAAGCGUUAUCCGGAUUUAUUGGGCGUAAAGAGUGCGUAGGUGGUUUAUAACAUUUCCUGUUAAAUCCUGAGGCUCAACCUCGGGGCUGCGGGAAAUAUGGAUAAACUAGAGACUGGAAGAGGCAAGCGGAAUUGCUGGUGUAGGGGUUAAAUCCGUUAAUAUCAGCAGGAACACCAAAAGCGAAAGCAACUUGCUAGGACAGUUCUGACACUGAGGCACGAAAGCGUGGGGAGCGAAUGGG
rnacentral:rRNA from 1 species